GGCUUUAUAGUCAAUAUAUGAUAUUAGACUGCAAUUCUGAAGUAAGGAUAUUAAUCUUUGAAGCUU
rnacentral:tRNA from 1 species